rnacentral:rRNA from 1 species
GUGGAGAGAGGGAGAAGAGAGAGAGAGAGCAGAGAGGGAGGGGGGCGGCGGCGACGGAUGCAGCGUGCUAAGACCGCACAAGGCCGGCCGCUCGGAGCGGUUGCGCGUCGUGUCUAGGCUCGGGGGACGGAGGCGAGAAGGGAAGGGAGGCCGGUCUAGGCGGAGAGCACCGGGGCUCUCGAGUCGGUGCUGGGGAAGGCUACCGAUCCCAAGGCUCCCACCGCAGGGGAGGUUGAGGCCGCGCCGCUGCCGCUGAGACGAGGCGGGAGAGGCUUCGGGUGGCGUUCAGGGUACCCGCCGAGGCGGAGCACCUACCAUGAGGACGUGGGCCACCGACGCCCCGCCUGCGCGUGUAGCCCAUUUGAGGCCGCUCCGCCACCGAGGGAGGCCGCCGAGGGAGGUGCCGUACUGCCGCCACGUGACGUAGCCGAUUUCGUGGUGGUACCAACUGUUUUUACGAGACGUAGAACUCUUCGUUUAUAGAAUUUUGAAACUGAACCUAGAGCUGCCGCUGCCGUAGGUUGCUUGUGUUCCAGCGAGGGUUGGUUGUUCAAAAAAAGAAGGUUCAAUUAUUACACCUAACACUGCAAACAGACACGUGACUAAAAGUCUCACCUACCGACAUGGUAAAUUAAAACUAAUGAUCGUGAUCAUCAACAUAAGUCACACUCGACCUUCUGAUUGACUAAGUCAAAAACUUCGGUAGAAACGACAAGACCAACACAAACGUGUCGAGUGAACAACAGUCACGUCAAGAGAGUGUGUAUAAACAAACAACCCCAAAUUAAAGAUCUUAGUACAGAGAUUAACGUAAGCAUUUAAAGAUCGGAAUUAACAAAAAAACAAUACCAGU